AUUGAACGCUGGCGGCGUGCCUAACACAUGCAAGUCGAGCGGUAACAGGUGUAGCAAUACAUGCUGACGAGCGGCGGACGGGUGAGUAACGCUUGGGAAUCUGCCUGUUAGUGGGGGACAACCCGGGGAAACUCGGGCUAAUACCGCAUACGCACUACGGUGGAAAGCCGGGGACCGCAAGGCCUGGCGCUAACAGAUGAGCCCAAGUCGGAUUAGCUAGUUGGUAGGGAACGGCCUACCAAGGCGACGAUCCGUAACUGGUCUGAGAGGACGACCAGUCACACCGGAACUGAGACACGGUCCGGACUCCUACGGGAGGCAGCAGUGGGGAAUAUUGGACAAUGGGCGAAAGCCUGAUCCAGCGACGCCGCGUGGGUGAAGAAGGCCUGCGGGUUGUAAAGCCCUUUCAGUGGGGAAGAAAAGCCUCGAGUUAAUACCUCGGGGUCUUGACGUAACCCAUAGAAGAAGCACCGGCUAACUCUGUGCCAGCCGCCGCGGUAAU
rnacentral:rRNA from 1 species